UGGGGAAUAUUGCGCAAUGGGCGAAAGCCUGACGCAGCAACGCCGCGUGCGGGAUGAAGGCCUUCGGGUUGUAAACCGCUUUCAGCAGGGACGAAACUGACGGUACCUGCAGAAGAAGCCCCGGCUAACUACGUGCCAGCAGCCGCGGUAAUACGUAGGGGGCUAGCGUUAUCCGGAUUCAUUGGGCGUAAAGCGCGCGUAGGCGGGCUGUUAAGUCAGGUGUGAAAACCGGGGGCUCAACCCGCGGCCUGCACCUGAAACUGGCAGCCUCGAGUCUGGUAGAGGAAAGUGGAAUUCCCAGUGUAGCGGUGAAAUGCGCAGAUAUUGGGAGGAACACCAGUGGCGAAGGCGGCUUUCUGGGCCACGACUGACGCUGAGGCGCGAAAGCUAGGGGAGCAGACA
rnacentral:rRNA from 1 species